rnacentral:rRNA from 1 species
GAGCCCGGUGACAGGUGCUGCAUGGCUGUCGUCAGCUCGUGUCGUGAGAUGUUGGUUAAGUCCCGCAACGAGCGCAACCCUCGCCUUUAGUUGCCAGCAUUCAGUUGGGCACUCUAAAGGGACUGCCGGUGUCAAACCGGAGGAAGGUGGGGAUGACGUCAAGUCCUCAUGGCCUUUAUGUCUAGGGCUACACACGUACUACAAUGGCAGGUACAAAGGGCAGCGACACAGCGAUGUGAUGCGAAUCCCGAAAAGCCUGUCUCAGUCCGGAUCGGAGUCUGCAACUCGACUCCGUGAAGUUGGAAUCGCUAGUAAUCGUGGAUCAGCAUGCCACGGUGAAUACGUUCCCGGGUCUU